UUGGCGAAAGCCGAAAAUUUUCAAGUAAAACAAAAAUGCCUAACUAUAUAAACAAAGCGAAUAUAAUACACUUGAAUAAUUUUGAACGAAAGGGAAUACGGUUCCAAUUCCGUAACCUGUUGAGUAUCCGUUUGUUAUUAAAUAUGGGCCUCGUGCUCAUCCUGGCAACAGGAACGACCAUAAAGAAGCCGUCGAGAGAUAUCGGAAGAGUUUUCUUUUCUGUUUUAUAGCCGUACUACCAUGGAAGUCUUUCGCAGAGAGAUAUGGUAGAUGGGCUAGAAGAGCAUGACAUAUACUGUUGUGUCGAUAUUUUCUCCUCGGACCUUGAAAAUUUAUGGUGGGGACACGCAAACUUCUCAACAGGCCGUACCAAUAUCCGCAGCUGGUCUCCAAGGUGAAGAGUCUCUAGUCGAUAGAAUAAUGUAGGUAAGGGAAGUCGGCAAAUUAGAUCCGUAACUUCGGGAUAAGGAUUGGCUCUGAAGAUUGAGAUAGUCGGGCUUGAUUGGGAAACAAUAACAUGGUUUAUGUGCUCGUUCUGGGUAAAUAGAGUUUCUAGCAUUUAUGUUAGUUACUUGUUCCCCGGAUAGUUUAGUUACGUAGCCAAUUGUGGAACUUUCUUGCUAAAAUUUUUAAGAAUACUAUUUGGGUUAAACCAAUUAGUUCUUAUCAAUUAUAACGAUUAUCAAUUAACAAUCAAUUCAGAACUGGCACGGACUUGGGGAAUCCGACUGUCUAAUUAAAACAAAGCAUUGUGAUGGCCCUAGCGGGUGUUGACACAAUGUGAUUUCUGCCCAGUGCUCUGAAUGUCAAAGUGAAGAAAUAUCACUGGUCAUAUCAUAUGGUGUGCGGAAGGGGAAUUUUACUCUGUAACUCACAAGUCUCUCCUUUACUCAAGUCGACUCAAAACCUCCUCGUGGUGGUCCCCGGUAAUGCUAAACUUGUUUAGCAGCUAAUUUGAGCGGCAAAAACUUUUUCCGAUGGGCUGGUUACCCAGAGGAAAUUUACUCAUAUUGGAACUACGAACACAAAUACACGAGCCUCGGAUAUCUU
rnacentral:ncRNA from 1 species